rnacentral:lncRNA from 1 species
GAGGCCGGCCUCGGACACGUAGCGGGUGCUGCCGCUGAUCAGGUUCAAGGAGUACAUGUGCAAGUUUUCAAGUUUUUUACCUGGUUAAUCACAAACAUCUAUAACUACCAAACACAGCUUCUGAACAGCAUUGAGUGUUUGUCAUUCUACCCUGAAAUAAUGUGAUUACAACAGAAGCAAGGAGUCGGAUCAGUAUCAUAGUCUGGAAGCUGUGCCUGCCCAAUCCUGCCUCCUCUCUGUUUUCCACACGGACAUUUACCCCUCAAUAAACUGCUUGCAUUUUUGAUUCCAUCUCAGUUUCUGUUUCCUGGAGGACCCAACUGGCACACUAAACU